UCAUUCAUUCAUUUUGGGAGAUGAAAUGUAUAUUUCAUCAAUUCCCUAAAUCCAAUGAUUUUAACUCAAAAAAGUCAAAUCAAUCUUGACCAAGGCCCAACAACACAAGUCCAAUUCCACAAGUCAAUAUUAGAAGCUCAACACAAUUUAUUUUGCAUUUAAAUAAUUAAAAUCAAUUAAAAUAUGCAUUAUAUUAAAUUAUGGUUUAUCAAAAUCCUAAAACGUCAUCAAAACACCAAAGAAAU
rnacentral:lncRNA from 1 species